CUCUUAUCGAGAGCGGCGGAGGGAUCUGGCCCUGCGAAACCGCGGCAACCGGGGUGAGGCGAAAGCUGAUCCCGUCAGGUGCCAAUCCCAGCUCCGGGCGGCCUCGGAGAAGGAUGAGAG
rnacentral:ncRNA from 1 species